rnacentral:rRNA from 1 species
UUUCUAGAGAUGAAAGUUACUUCGGUACAUCGGUGACAGGUGGUGCAUGGUUGUCGUCAGCUCGUGUCGUGAGAUGUUGGGUUAAGUCCCGCAACGAACGCAACCCCUAUUGUUAGUUGCCAUCAUUCAGUUGGGCACUCUAGCGAGACUGCCGGUAAUAAACCGGAGGAAGGUGGGGAUGACGUCAAAUCAUCAUGCCCCUUAUGACCUGGGCUACACACGUGCUACAAUGGUUGGUACAACGAGUUGCGAGUCGGUGACGGCGAGCUAAUCUCUUAAAGCCAAUCUCAGUUCGGAUUGUAGGCUGCAACUCGCCUACAUGAAGUCGGAAUCGCUAGUAAUCGCGGAUCAGCACGCCGCGGUGAAUACGUUCCCGGGCCUU